rnacentral:rRNA from 1 species
UACGUAGGGGGCAAGCGUUGUCCGGAAUCAUUGGGCGUAAAGAGCGUGUAGGCGGCUUGGUAAGUCCGCUGUGAAAGUCCAGGGCUCAACCCUGGAAUGCCGGUGGAAACUGUCAAGCUUGAGUCCGGAAGAGGCGAGUGGAAUUCCUGGUGUAGCGGUGAAAUGCGCAGAUAUCAGGAGGAACACCAAUGGCGAAGGCAGCUCGCUGGGACGGUACUGACGCUGAGGCACGAAAGCGUGGGGAUCAAACAGG